GCUUAGUUUUGAACUUUGUAUGUGGUAAUAUCUGGGGACUGGGAUCUCUUUCAUUGCAUGUUAUGGGGUCUUGGUUUGAAUUGAAAUUCGUUUUUCGUUUAAGUUUUUGUUGUUGAGUGCCAUUAAGGCUUCUGUAAUUCCAACUGGUUGUUUUCGAGUUUGGAAAUUUACCCAAAGACAUUUUGAAGUUUGGGGCAUAGAGCAUAAUCACUCUACCUCUCUAAGAAAAAAAAAAUUCUUUCAAGUUCGAAAGGUUAAGCAUCAUGUUUUUUUUUUAACUCAAUCUUAUUUGGUGGUACAUUCAAGUGGUAUGGUGCUUGUUCAAGUGGUACAUUCAUUGAGCUGGAAUAAUCCCCUAGUGUCUGCAGUAAUAGGUCAUAUGAUUGUAAUUAAAUCAAUAAUUUUGCUUCAAUAAUGAACUAAUGCACGAAUCCCUGUUUUGCAUUAAUCGGUAAGCAUUCUUGUACUGUGUGUGUAUGGAUGGGGCAGCUUUCGCAUAAGAGGAAGGUGACAGUUCAGGAGUUCAAAGGGAAACCAUUGGUGUCGUUGAGGGAGUUUUUUACUAAAGAAGGCAAGGAGCUCCCUACUUCUAAAGGUGGAGUAUUAUUUCAGUGAUCUGAACUUAGCUACUACUGAUCAUCUUAUGAGGUUCAUAAACAAAGACCCUGAAGGAUUUGUGCCAAUAUCUGUUGUUGCAUCUUUCAAGAAGAUUAAGGCCCUAGUAAGUAGUCAUUCCUAGCUUGCAACUGUAUUGCGGAACUACU